UGACCUCGAAUCAGGUAGGAAUACCCGCUGAACUUAAGCAUAUCAAUAAGCGGAGGAAAAGAAACCAACAGGGAUUGCCCCAGUAACGGCGAGUGAAGCGGCAACAGCUCAAAUUUGAAAUCUGGCCCCUAGGGCCCGAGUUAUAAUUUGCAGAGGAUGCUUUUGGCGAGGUGCCUUCCGAGUUCCCUGGAACGGGACGCCAUAGAGGGUGAGAGCCCCGUCUGGUUGGAUACCGAGCCUCUGUAAAGCUCCUUCGACGAGUCGAGUAGUUUGGGAAUGCUGCUCUAAAUGGGAGGUAUAUGUCUUCUAAAGCUAAAUACCGGCCAGAGACCGAUAGCGCACAAGUAGAGUGAUCGAAAGAUGAAAAGCACUUUGAAAAGAGGGUUAAACAGUACGUGAAAUUGUUGAAAGGGAAGCGUUUAUGACCAGACUUGGACCCGGUGAAUCAUCCAGCGUUCUCGCUGGUGCACUUUGCCGGGCUCAGGCCAACAUCAGUUUGUCCCGGGGGAUAAAGGCUUAGGGAAUGUGGCUCCUCCGGGAGUGUUAUAGCCCUCUGCAUAAUACCCUGGGGCGGACUGAGGUUCGCGCAUCUGCAAGGAUGCUGGCGUGAUGGUCAUCAACGACCCGUCUUGAAACACGGACCAA
rnacentral:rRNA from 1 species